rnacentral:rRNA from 1 species
ACUCUUAAUGGCGACGACGGGUAGCCGGCCUGAGAGGGCGACCGGCCACACUGGGACUGAGACACGGCCCAGACUCCUACGGGAGGCAGCAGUGGGGAAUAUUGCACAAUGGGCGAAAGCCUGAUGCAGCGACGCCGCGUGAGGGAUGACGGCCUUCGGGUUGUAAACCUCUUUCAGCAGGGAAGAAGCGAAAGUGACGGUACCUGCAGAAGAAGCGCCGGCUAACUACGUGCCAGCAGCCGCGGUAAUACGUAGGGCGCGAGCGUUGUCCGGAAUUAUUGGGCGUAAAGAGCUCGUAGGCGGUCUGUCGCGUCGGAUGUGAAAGCCCGGGGCUUAACCCCGGGUCUGCAUUCGAUACGGGCAGACUAGAGUGUGGUAGGGGAGAUCGGAAUUCCUGGUGUAGCGGUGAAAUGCGCAGAUAUCAGGAGGAACACCGGUGGCGAAGGCGGAUCUCUGGGCCAUUACUGACGCUGAGGAGCGAAAGCGUGGGGAGCGAACAGGAUUAGAUACCCUGGUAGUCCACGCCGUAAACGGUGGGAACUAGGUGUUGGCGACAUUCCACGUCGUCGGUAGCCGCAUGUCAUUAGAACGCAUUAA